rnacentral:rRNA from 1 species
AGUGAACGCUGGCGGUAGGCCUAACACAUGCAAGUCGAACGGCAGCACAGUAAGAGCUUGCUCUUACGGGUGGCGAGUGGCGGACGGGUGAGGAAUACAUCGGAAUCUACUUUUUCGUGGGGGAUAACGGAGGAAAACUUACGCUAAUACCGCAUACAACCUACGGGUGAAAGCAGGGGUUCUUCGGACCUUUCGCGAUUGAAUGAGCCGAUGUCGGAUUAGAUAGUUGGCGGGGUAAAGGCCCACCAAGGCGACGAUACGUAGCUGGUCUGACCGGAUGAUCAGCCACACUGGAACUGAGACACGGUCCAGACUCCUACGGGAGGCAGCAGUGGGGAAUAUUGGACAAUGGGCGAAAGCCUGAUCCAGCCAUACCGCGUGGGUGAAGAAGGCCUUCGGGUUGUAAAGCCCUUUUGUUGGGAAAGAACAAAAGCAGGUUAAUACCCCGCUGUUCUGACGGUACCCAAAGAAUAAGCCCCGGCUAACUUCGUG